CAGAAACUCUUUAAUGAAGGUAGGGGCUGCCUGCAAAGCCGUGUUAAGUGCACGGGAACGGACUCACACUGACUCACUUCCACAAUGGGUGCUGUUGGCUGUGAUUUCAGCUCCUCAGGCUGUGUGGUGGCGCAUUUGGAUGUGUGGUGACGGCAGGGACAGAUUACGCAUGAGUACCUUCAGAAGAAACGGGCACCUUUAACAAAGAACAAAUACGAGGAAGUGGUAGUGUCGCGUGACGGAAGGAACUGAUGAUUUGGUGGGUGAUGGGGUGCCCUGAAAGGACAGGAAGCCUGAGCCGGGUCUUGAUGUCGGGGUGGAGCUUCGGGGGCUCAUGGAGCGCUGCUGAACGCCUGGUUUACUAGUGUGAUUUUGAGAGCGAACAGGUUUUCUUCUGAGUUUCCUGCUCACGGUUCGGGUGAAAGCUGUCUUUGUCCUGCGGAGGUGGAAACAUGGACACUGCUCUGGCCAAGAACAGCUCCCCAGAAUUUUCCGCUGGCAACAGGCUUAUUUGGGUUGGAGUGUUUGCAGCAACAGUGGAUCAUCAUUGUGUCAGCUGAAAGCAUCCGGUGGAUGUCCCUAAUUUCUUCUGAUUGCAUAUGCAUGGCACAGAUAAAGGGUCUUUCAGUGGUUAUGGUAUUUUUUGCCUGCGUGUGCAUGUGCGUUGUUCGUGUGUGUGUGUGUGAGAGAGAGAGAGAGAGAGAGAAAGAGAGAGAGUGUUCAUGCCAGAGGUCAACCCCUCAGAUGUAAUCUUUUUGAGAUAGAAUCUCUCACUGGGACUGGAGCGUGCUGUGUCCCAGCUUUGUGGACUGAGUUGUCUCUCCAACCCUGAAUCUUGGUUAAUGUGGCUCACUUUCUUGUGAACCACCCGAGCCUCCUUGAGGCAGAGACCUACUGUGAUAUUAUUGUACUUUAUUUUAUCUCCAGGCACCUGAGUUGUAUUUGUUCAAGGUGAAUGAUUCCAGAGAAGAGGUUUGCUCGGUCCAUCAGCCUAAGGAAAUGAUGAAAUCGACCAAUUACUAAUAGGAAAUAUGUCAGAAGCUUUAAAAUUUCAUGAGAAACAUCAUGUUAAUGGGAAAGGUUUAAAGAAAAAAAUUCCCAUUGCUCGGCGACAAGCCAAAAAUAAUAAAAAAGUGCCUUACAUGUUCUCUAUACAACUAAACUCCAUUACCUGUGGGUAGUAACCCUAGGGGCACCAAAAGAAAUGACAUCUGGCAGUGGAUGUUUUCCAUUUCCCAGAAUUUGGAAAGCAAAGAUAUAUACACCAUGCAUACCAUUGACCCAUUCUCGGGGUUUCAAUGGGCAACUGCUUUAAGUUCUGAAAGGCUGACUGUGCAAUUACACACUUACUGGAAAUAAUGGCAGGGUUGGGGAUUUAGCUCAGUGGUAGAGCGCUGGCCCUGGGUUCGGUCCCCAGCUCUGAAAAAAAGAAAAAAAAAAAAAAAAGAAAUAAUGGCAAUUAUGGGUCAGCUGCACCAAUUAAAACUGAGAGUGCUCCCGCGUACGUAUCCGAUAAGAUGAAGCAGUUCUCUGCAACCGUAAGAUAAAGCACGAUACCACACAAUCCCACAGGACAAGCAGAAAGAGCCAAUCACACCUUAAAAGAGAUGCUGAGUAAACAAAAAGAGAGAAUGAAAACUGCCAGGGACAGACUAACACUCAACUUUCUUACUGUUGGCGAGAAGGGAGCUACAGCCGCUGAGAGACACUGCGUUAUCAAAAAACUGAGCAACCGG
ensembl:lncRNA